UACGUAGGGGGCAAGCGUUAUCCGGAAUUACUGGGUGUAAAGGGAGCGUAGACGGUAAUGUAAGUCUGGAGUGAAAGGCGGGGGCCUAACCCCCGGACUGCUCUGGAAACUAUGUUACUAGAGUGCAGGAGAGGUAAGCGGAAUUCCUAGUGUAGCGGUGAAAUGCGUAGAUAUUAGGAGGAACACCAGUGGCGAAGGCGGCUUACUGGACUGUAACUGACGUUGAGGCUCGAAAGCGUGGGGAGCAAACAGG
rnacentral:rRNA from 1 species